rnacentral:tRNA from 1 species
GGGCCUGUAGCUCAGUUGGUUAGAGCAGAGGACUCAUAAUCCUUUGGUCGACGGUUCAAGUCCGUCCGGGCCUA